GACAGAGGUCCCGAGCGUUAGGCGGAAUCACUGGGCUUAAAGCGUGUGUAGGCGGAUUUGUAAGUACCUUGUGAAAAUCCCACGGCUUAACCGUGGAACUGCUGGGUAUACUGCUUAUCUUGGGCCAUCUAGGGGCGAGCGGAACAAACGGUGGAGCGGUGAAAUGCGUAGAUAUCGUUUGGAACGCCAAUGGUGAAAACAGCUCGCUGGGGAUGUGCCGACGCUGAGACACGAAAGCCAGGGGAGCGAACGGG
rnacentral:rRNA from 1 species